rnacentral:lncRNA from 1 species
AAGGGUACAUAUUAUUGCUAUUACAGCACCAUUUGAUUUUACUGUCUUUUAAUGGGUGCGAAGGUUAUAUUUCCCACUAAGGAAAUCAGAGGGCCAAUUUUACUGAAGUUAUAGUUAAGAGGCAGUACUUCAAAAAGCUGCAUGAAAAAAGCCUCUAAGGCAGAGAUGGCCAAUAGCAGCGCCAGUGUGAAUCAGUUGGUGGGAAUUACCAAAAGCAUGGACUAAGAAGGCAUAUGAAGCAGUAUCCAGAUUUCCCUCAAGAAUUUAGACAAAUGCUACA